UGGAAACAAGGUGGCUGAAAAUAAGACGAUGGGCGAUUGAAAGGGGGAGGUGCUCACAACAAUGCAAGGGAGUUGAGGGUGAAUGACAAUAUAGGGAGACACACGUGUGGAAAGUGCAAGGAGACAAGACACAUUACUAAAGAUUGCAAGUUGGGGCAUUGUGUGGUUUUUGGAAGAGAUAAUCACAUCACUGACCAAUGCACUUGGCUUAAGAAGAUGAAGCCUAUCCCCAAAUAUGUUGGAUAUGCUGCUAAAGGGUUGGGGUGCUGCUUGUGCAACAUUUCAAGGAUGUAAUGAUGGCUGAUCAUGUUAAUCCCUUAGUUGUCGUCCAUAUUAGUUCUGGGCAGAUUAAUUAGACUGAGUUCAUUAAAGAAUUCAAUGAUAUGUUCAGCUCGGGGUGGCAAUGGAGAAUUAGAGAGGUUGGAAAAAACUGGUACAUGUUGAGAUUCCCUAACAAAGCCAAACUUGUGGAAUUAAUUAAAUUC
rnacentral:lncRNA from 1 species